CGGCGCCUGCGCCCUGAGACGGCGCCGCCAAACGCCCUGAGGCGGUGGUUGAGCCCCUCGCCGUCCUGCGGGGCACCGACGGGCUCGGAGUCCCGCAGGGAUGGGUACUGAGCUCUCCUUUCUGGUCCCGGCCUCGGGGGCUUUGCGUUUUGUCUCGGUUUAGGCUGUGGAGAAACCGGCGGGGUGGGCGCGGAGAGCGCGGUCCGUGAGGGAACGCCGAGGGGAAGGCAGGGGAGUGCAGAGGGGAGGAAAGGCUGCAAAGGUUUUAAGUUUGUUUUUCCGCGUCAGGCCUCCCCAUUCGAUGCGAACACGGCAGGAAUGUAUCCCCUAACACGGGUCUGAGAACGUCAGAGAAAAGUCUUCACUGAGAGAACCAUAGCCGCAGAGCAGGCGGCUGAGCUCAGCUGCUGAGCCUAACGAGGCUCGCUAAUUUCGGAGGCUGUGUGGCCUCAGCCGCUCCCGGAUGCUCUCUCCUCCCUCUCUGCCAUUUUUUCCCCGGAGGAGCACUUCUCCGCAGCACUGGGGGCAGGAGACUGCUACACGCAGGAGCAAAACACUUUUAGAGUGGAAAGUACAGAAAAAUGGAGACAUUUCUUAAAUCUCCACUGAAGUUCUGCCAAAACAAAACCCAAG